UUUUUCCAGUUUCGCAGCCGGGCGAACGUCUGCCUCGGAGAGGGGUUGCGCACGAACCCGAAGGGGGAUUCGAUUUAGUUGACGUUGAGGAGAGUGCACGCCGGGGGAAUUGAUUACCUGGGACAAUUGUACGGCAGGGUAUCGCGUGCGCUGCAAGUUGAAAUUUCGAGUAGAUCGAUCGUCACGGGGAAGGAGGAAGAGGUACGGCGAGUCCUUCUCUCGGCGGCAACCUACCUGGCUGAAGUCUACCGGAACGGAAAGAUUCUGAGAAUACGAAUUUACUAAGUGGACGAAGGACCAAAGGAGGCCAUGAGAAUUUAGGAUGGGACUAAGCCAGGGUCACGUGGGCGGUACGGAGACGAUGAAGAGGGAACCAACGAGGAAGGUGAUAAUUAUUAUAAAUCUGCCGAUCCACGAAGGAACCCCGGGCCGAGCCUUCUGUCCAGGAAACGAGACGUCACGGGCUAUCAUCCCUCUAAUCAGCGAGCCACGCGGCGUAAAAGAAGUCGAAAAGGCCUUUACUCGGAAUCGAGAUCGACUCCACGCGGCUCCGCUGUUCACCGGAAGAUCCCAAUACACUUUUCCGAAUAAGUUUUUCAUUUUAGCAUAAGAAUUUCAAGUUGAUUAAUAACAUUAUAU